GGACCCGCACAAGUAGUGGAGCAUGUGGUUUAAUUCGAAGAUACGCGCAGAACUUUACCAACACUUGACAUGUUCGUCGCGACUUUAAGAGAUUAAAGUUUUCGGUUCGGCCGGACGAAACACAGGUGCUGCAUGGCUGUCGUCAGCUCGUGUCGUGAGAUGUUGGGUUAAGUCCCGCAACGAGCGCAACCCUCACUUUUAGUUGCCAUCAUUUAGUUGGGCACUCUGAAAGAACUGCCAGUGAUAAGCUGGAGGAAGGUGGGGAUGACGUCAAGUCCUCAUGGCCCUUACGUGUUGGGCUACACACGUGCUACAAUGGUAUCUACAACAGGAAGCAAAACGGCGACGUUAAGCAAAUCCCUAAAAGAUACCUCAGUUCGGAUUGCACUCUGCAACUCGAGUGCAUG
rnacentral:rRNA from 1 species